AUUAACUCAGAAUGAAAAUAAUAAAUCAUAAACACAGUUGUCAAAUGAAGCAUCACACUAUUCCAACGACUUGUUCUUUCAUUUAUAAAGCAUACAUUUUUU